rnacentral:lncRNA from 1 species
UACCAAUAAAAUGUUCAGUACAUCAAUACUUUUUGACUUAAAUGAUACUCAUGUCAAUGUAUUCUGGUUUGUUUUCCUUUCAGUUUCAAAGAACAUCCGCAAUAUCCAUACUGUGAAGAAUUAAAUUAGUAUGACAAACUUCAAAUUCCGUACAUUGAGCGAUUCCGUUCCGGAGUUAUUUUUUUUACUACAUCAGUAUGCCGAUCAGAGCUGAAACUGACGAGGAGGGUGAACAAACAUAAAGGGACGGAAGAGAUUUGAAUGUGUUUUCAAGUUUAUAAAAGAAAGAUUAAUAAAAGUACAC